CUUGGAGAGCAACUAAAAAAUGCAUGAAGGAUUUUCGUUUGUCAUUCUGGUAAAUUGCUUUUGUCGACUUAACAAACAUUCCCCGGUGUUAUCUGUACAGCAGCGCCAGAAGGAUGGUGCGUGGCUGGAGCACACAGAUAGGAACAGCAC